rnacentral:rRNA from 1 species
UACGAAGGGGGCUAGCGUUGUUCGGAAUCACUGGGCGUAAAGCGCACGUAGGCGGAUCUUUAAGUCAGAGGUGAAAUCCCAAGGCUCAACCUUGGAACUGCCUUUGAUACUGGGGAUCUUGAGUCCGGGAGAGGUGAGUGGAACUGCGAGUGUAGAGGUGAAAUUCGUAGAUAUUCGCAAGAACACCAGUGGCGAAGGCGGCCCGCUGGGCAGUGGCUGACGCUGAGGCGCGACAGCGUGGGGGAGCAAACAGG